CGGACGGGUGAGUAAUGUCUGGGAAACUGCCUGAUGGAGGGGGAUAACUACUGGAAACGGUAGCUAAUACCGCAUAACGCCGCAAGACCAAAGAGGGGGACCUUCGGGCCUCUUGCCAUCGGAUGUGCCCAGAUGGGAUUAGCUAGUAGGUAGGGUAAAGGCUCACCUAGGCGACGAUCCCUAGCUGGUCUGAGAGGAUGACCAGCCACACUGGAACUGAGACACGGUCCAG
rnacentral:rRNA from 1 species